AAAGCUAUAUGCAUUCAGCUGAAAGUGGUACCAUACUCUCUCCUGAUGCUAAACAGUUGCAGAAGAGGUGCAGCUCCCACUCAGCCACGCAAUCAAGCAGCAGGGAAAAUUAAAAAAAAAACAUGAGGAAAACAGUAAAAUAUGAAGAGCCUGGAAGCACAAUAACAAACUUAGUCGGGCAUGUAAAAAAUUACAAUGGCUACACGAGUGUAAUUUUACUAGUGUAAUUUACACAAGUGCAAAACAAAGAUUAAAUUAGACUUCAUGACUAAUUAGAUAUGCAGAACAAAGAGAAGAAAUCUUCAAUGCUGAGAAAGUGCUGUGGGAUUUGGAUGAAGCUCAUUCUCUUUUUACAAAUGUUCUUCAAAUUCAACCUGCUGUGAGCCUAGUAGAAAUGAUGAAGAGAAAUUAAAUCACUACAACAUCAGUAUCAGGAAAAACACUGGCUAAUAAUACUAUGUAAGCUUGUACAAACCAGUAAAAUAAUUUCAUAUCAUUUUUAUGAAGUAUAAGAACAUAAGAGCUUCUGCACAACAAAAGAAACUAUCAUCAGAGUGAACAGGCAACCUAUAGAAUGGGAGAAAAUUUUUGCAAUCUAUCCCUCUGACAAAGGGCUAAUAUCCAGAAUCUACAAAGAACUUAAACAAAUUUACAAAAAAAAAGCAAACAACCCCAUCAAAAAAUGGGCAAAGGAUAUGAACAGACACUUCUCAAACGAAGACAUUUAUGCAGCCAACAGACAUAGGAAGAAAAGCUCAUCGUCACUGGUCAUUAGAGAAAUGCAAAUCAAAACCACAAUGAGAUACCAUCUCAGGCCAGUUAGAAUGGCUAUCGUUAAAAACUUAGGAAACAAGGGAUGCUGCAGAGGAUGUGGAGAAAUAAGAACGCUUUUACAUUGUUAGUGGGAGUGUAAAUUAGUUCAACCAUUGUGGAAGACAGUGUGGCGAUUCCUCAAGGAUCUACAACCAGAAAUACCAUGUGACCCAGCAAUUCCAUUAAUGGGUAUAUACUCAAAGGAUUAUAAAUCAUUCUAUUAUAAAGACACAUGCACACGUAUGUUAAUUGCAGCACUAUUCACAAUAGCAAAGACUUGGAACCAACCCAAAUGCCCAUCAAUGAUAGACUGGAUAAAGAAAAUGUGGCACAAAUACACCAUGGAAUACUAUUCAGCCAUAAAAAAGGAUGAGUUCAUGUCCUUUGCAGGAACAUGGAUGAAGCUGGAAACCAUCAUUCUCAGCAAACUAACCCAGGAACAGAAAACCAAACACCGCAUGUUCUCACUCAUAAGUGGGAGUUUAACAAUGAAAACACAUGGACACAGGAAUGGGAACAUCACACACUUGGGCCUGUUGGGGGUUGGGGUCUAGGGGAGGGAUAGCAUUAGGAGAAAUACCUAAUGUAGAUGAUGGGUUGAUGGGUGCAGCAAACCACCAUGGCAUGGGUAUAUCUCUGUAACAGACCCGCAUGUUCUGCACAUGUAUCCCAGAACUUAAAGUAUAAUAAUAAAAAAAGAACAUAAGAAAUAAUUGCAAAAUGUUUAUAUGGUACAGAAUAUAAGAGUAUUAUACCAAGCAAAUUGUUCUCAUUUGUAGUGUACUGCAUUAAGCUAUCAUUAACUCUUGUACCUAAUGCAGCAGCCACCCAAAUGAUAUCAAUAGGGCCAGUCUUUGGGUUACACCUAAAACGAAGAUGUAAUUAUGUCAUGCCCCUGAUUUCAAAGUAAGAUCAAGACCCCCCCAAGUGCGAAUUGAUUAAUUUUCAACUAUAUCUCCUUUCAAGUAUUAUUCCUAAAAUAUCUUAAUCGUACAGCAUAUGCCUUUCACUGAGCAGCUAUUGCACUUUCAUACUUCAGAAUUACAACUACUCCUUCAUGCUAAUUUCUGCCUCUGCUGCAGUUACCUGCAUCUCUGCUGCCACCUUCUUCAACCUCUAUAGGAUCACUCAAAAGACUUAGUGUAUACUUGGAGUGGUUUCCUCAAGUGAAAUCAACCAUGUUGUGGCUGGAUAUAUUAUGCAGACCGCAUCUUAACAGGUACCAACAUAUUAUAUUACCUGAUGUGUAAACAUAAUCAACAUUGAAGAAGUUUUCAGAAAUCAAUAUUUAUUUUACUGCAUCUUCUUAAGGCAUUUUGGAUUAUGCCAUACAAACCAUUUGUCCAGAACAUAAUGUUUUGCUUAGUUCU